GUCAAGUCUGGUCCAGCCCACACUUCAAACUUAAUCAAAAAAUAAAAGUUUGGAAGAGAUUUAGUUAGCACUCAUCACAGACCCAAACUAAUUUAUUAUGGCACUACCGCAAAAGAUGAAAGAAAAAUUAAUCAGUGAGGUUGUAAUUAUCAGCUGCAUUACACAUCAUCAGAGUGAAAGGGGUGUUCACAGCUGGGUUAAUCAUGCAGACAUCUCUGAUUCAGAGACAUUACAGCUACUUUCUUAAUUCUUACAAAAUAUGUGGUUUUGAAAACAGGUGAUAAGAAAGGACAUUAUUAGUUUCUUGAUGAGCUACAUCCUGAUCCUGUGUUGGGAAAGACCAUCCCUAAAGGCAAGCACAAUGUCUCUGGGUCAAUCUUCUUAUGUUAAGAUGAGUGUCUGUGUCCAUUUAGACAUAACUAAACUGACAUACAGGUGCAACGUUACUACUGGUACCUGUUGAGGUGUUUUGUUAUGUGUUUACAGAGCAGUCAGACCACAUAUGUACCCAGCAAAGUUUCAUUAUUACCACGUGCAGGUUACUGCCUUUAGCCAUCUCUACAAGAGCUUUGAUAUGAAUCAUAUUAGGGAAUUUAAAUAAAUGUUGACAUUAACCUUGGGCUUUAUAUAAGCAAUGAUACACAAGGGAAUGUAAAUCUGCAUUGAUGCAAAGCAUGCUACUAAAAUGAAAUAUUGUAGUGCACACUGAAAACCAAGCACAGGAAAAACUUUAAGAAAAAAACUGCACUCUGAAAAGAUUAGUCACUGUAAUUUUCUGUACAUGAAAUAAAGACCACAGGUUGAACAGAAUGAUUGGUAUACUAAUAUAAUGGCACCCACUGGUCCAUGCACUUUAUUUUGUCAAAGCGUUUUCAUUUUGAGCUGUUUCAACAUUGCUAUGUUUUACUUUAAUAUACAGGCUACAGUAGUAGUGGCUUACCACUUACAAGGUAGUCCAUCCCUUAAAAGGCAUAAUAUACUUUUAAAAUGGGGGUUGUAAGGGGUAUGUAUGCGCUCUUUUGGACCAUUUUUCAAUGCAUUAUUUUGCCCUCAGAAAGCCCAUUCUUUUUCACUAUUCUCGAAUGCUACACAUAUAUUAAUAGACUUUAUAUAUCUAUACAGUAUAUGUGUUCUUCCACAAGUGUUUAGCUAAUGGGGUCUAUAAUGUCGAGGUCACUAAUGAAUCAUGAAUUCUGAUCAUUUUGUAUCUGAGUAUGACGUGAUUUUAAGCACCAGACUGCAGCUGUAUUUGAGGUGCUGGUAUAUUCUGAUUCAGAAAGGUCCUGAAUUACUAUUGUCGUCCAGGUAAUUAAACGGGACAAAGAGGUAUUCAAAGCAGAUUGUAUAAGCUGAACAUUAACAACGGGUAAGACAGACAAAACACAGGUACAAACUCAGGGGGUAAACUAGACUUGACACAAAGGGAAAAACAGGAAAUACUAAAAACUGAAUGAAGAAACCAAACAGUGAAAAACACAAGAACAACAGGAACAUAAGAAUAACAAAGAAGUGAAACAGGAACAACAUAUACAUAAUGAGUAAAACCCCACGGGGAAUAGUAACACAGGGGAAUAAUUCACAACAAGCGAUAGAGGAAAUACAAAACAAGGAAAACAUAACAAAAACAGGAAUGAAUUAUGACAACCCCUGCUUAGUAAUCAUAACUACACUCACUUCGCUAUUGAAGCUCUUCCAGAUGGCAGCGAAAUUUAGAUUUAGUUGCUUUUACAACCAAAAGAUGUUGUUUGGUGGACAAAUGUUAUUUUUGAUUGCACAGAAGUGAUUAAAUUAGACACUAGCAUGAAUAAUUACACGCUUUCGAGGGUUUUUAUUCUUCAACACAGUUUUUCACCCUCAACAAUAUAUGUGUCUGACCUCAGCCCUGUUUUUGCAAUCAUAUACAGUAUUGUAUCGCACACUGUCAUGAUAAGAAAGUGGAAUGAUAUUGAAUUGCUCUGCCACUUGUACUCUUCUCUCAAUCAAUGACUCAGGAUUGUGUCAGGUAUUCAAGUACCAAUAGGUGUGCAGCUCUCUGUCAGGACCAGAUCUAUCCGGACUCUGGUGCUCAUGUAUGUAAGGAAAAGCUCUCCUUGAGGGCAGGACUCUUUCUCAACAUCUACAAGGACGAAAACUUCAUUAAUGUUCAGAAGAAGUAAUACUGGGCUCUCUUUAAUGCAUUUGAAAACACAUUUUCAAUGCUGUCUGCGUGAGGGCAGCUGUAGCAAGGAUGCGAUAAACACACACAGCAUAUAAAAAGACUCCAUGGCCAGUGGGAGAAUUCAUCAAGAUUUUAAUUAAUUGUGUAUCUGACUUAUUUGCUGCAGGCAAAUAUCAACUCACAGGACUACCUCUAGAAAGUGUGGACAUAUAUGAAGAGUUCCAAUCAAUAAAAGUGGAUAUGAAGAAAGUGAAUUGGUCCUUCGUUGGAGAUUGCACAAACCCCAUAAAGUCUCAGUUUCCUGUCCUGACAUUGGCUUUUCUUUUAGGUGUAUGCUAGGGAAAUGUAUCGUUAGUUGAGCCAAAGGGGUAAGUUGAGCCACCCCCUGUUUCUUGGAAAUGGUAAAAGAAAUUGGUCAUGUGACCAAAUAUUUAGGAGAUGGGCAUCAAUUCAUGGAGUCUGUGAAGGUUAGAAACACAUGGGUGAAGAGGUUAGACAUUUAUUUACAAAACAAAAACAUUUUCCACUCUUGAAAGUGAAUUCAGUUUGUCGUAAGUUUUAUUUGAAUUGUGUUCAGACCAAAAAAGUUCAUGUUUGUUUUAUAAAUCAACUGUGGUAUCUAUGAGCGACAACAUAAGGUCAAAAACCUAACAUAAAAGUCCACCAUUUUAGCUUAAAGGACUAAUAGACGGGUUCCUGUGCAAUGUCAUCGCAGGUAUGCGCGCACAGCCUUGGGGCAGAAAGCGGGACAUUUCUUAUUUGUGUGCUAGCGGAGUCAAUGGAGAAAGAAAAUGACAAGGAGCUGUUGUGCUGUAAACUGCAUGAAUCGGCAAAACUAACAACUGGCAAACAUUACGACCCUGCUCCUGAUAUUAGAAACAUCUAAAACAAUGUCACAACCUGGUAAACUGUGUGAAAUUCAUGGACAUUUCAGCAAGUGUUUUUCUGAUUUUGAUGCCAUGAAAGACAAAGCAAUUUUUCAAUGAAAAAAAAAAACAUUUUAUUGCAGUUGUGUCAGGGAGAACUUGCAAACAAUACGACAGAAAGACAGUAGAAAUACGGCUCAACUUACCCCGCUCCUAUGGUCAACUUACCCCAUACACAGGGUUAAGUUGACCAUAGGAGACCAUUUUUUUUGGCAUGCUAUAUUAUCAAGACAGUUCUGUUUACACUCAUUCUGUUGGUUUACAGGGAUGAACAACAUCUUGAAAUAUAUGCAGAUACACUAGUUAGAGACAAAACUAUGAUUGACUUGAUGUACUGAAAUAUGAAAAAUGGUUCAUCUUACCCCACUCUCCCCUAUCUGACUUAUUUGCUGCAGGCAAAUAUCAACUCACACGACUACCUCCAAAAAGUGUGGGAAUAUAUGAAGAGUUCCAAUCAAGAGGAGAAAGUGAACGGUCCUUCAUUGGAGACUGCACAAACCCUAUAAAGUCUCAAUUUCCUGUCCUGACAUUGGCUUUUCUUUUAGGUGUGUGUUAGGGAUGGAAAAUCGUUUUUAUGAUAGAUUUAAACCGCUUAAGCAA